rnacentral:lncRNA from 1 species
UCUAGUCUAUAUUUUCGAUAAGAUAUAUUAAUUAUUCCAUAAACCUAAAAAAUCAACUUUUUCUUAUAAUAAGGACAUGAGGGAGUAGUUGCAUGAAUUAAUUUGUUCCAUGCCAAAUUAAGUGUCAUGCCACUACAUAUUUACAUGCCAAAUCAAGUUAAUUCCUAAUCAAUCAAUAUACUACUAUAUAACCAUGUCGUUGGGAACAUAUAAGCAUAUUUUCAUGGAGCCAACUCAAAAGAAGUGAUAGUAGCACACAUUAUAUCUCAUUUCUAUGCAACAAUUACUCCAACGCUUUCAAUUUCCGAUGUGUACAGUACUACUGUAGUAGUAAACAAAUGGAGAUGAUAUCAACGUUCUUACUUCAAUAAAAAAUAAUAAAUUGUCUUUUUAAUCAAAUUUGAUGCUGGUGGUUUUUUGGUCAUGAUUGUGAUCUCUAUAUGUUGUGGGCUGCACUUGUUUUUGUAAUUAGACUUUCGACCCGUGCGACACACGGAUCUCAACGACUAUAAUAGAGACCAAUGAAUGAUCUUUAACUCGUUAGAAGUACGAAUUAUUUCAUGUUGCAUUUAAAGUUCAUGCCACUGGUAAAAUAGUACCACUUGAUACUUUCUUUUCUGAUAGAUGCAAUUGACGUUUCUAGUGGUUAUAUAAAAUCUCACGAUUCAUUAUCUUAACCUACAUUAUGUUGUCCAAUAUAAGAAUAGCCACUAAUGAUUAAAUGGAAUGAUAUCAAAACUCAAUGAAGCCUAAAAGAAUUCAUUGACUUGUUAACACUUCAUUAUUCUUCAUGUCCAAUUUUCAUUCCUUAACAAUUUAUUUGUUUUGAUACACUUUGUAUUCUACAAACACAACAUUAACAACAAAUUAGAGAGUCAUAAAGAGAAAUAGGCAUAGCAUAUCAUGACAACACAGCAUAUCAUAGUGCACUUCAACAAAUAAUCCAAUACACCAAUGAUGCUGAAACUAGGAAC